rnacentral:rRNA from 1 species
AGUGAACGCUGGCGGUAGGCCUAACACAUGCAAGUCGAACGGCAGCACAGUAAUAGCUUGCUCUUACGGGUGGCGAGUGGCGGACGGUUGAUGAAUACAUCGGAAUCUACUUUUUCGUGGGGGAUAACGUAGGGAAACUUACGCUAAUACCGCAUACGACCUACGGGUGAAAGCAGGGGAUCUUCGGACCUUGCGCGAUUGUAUGAGCCGAUGUCGGAUUAGCUAGUUGGCGGGGUAAAGGCCCACCAAGGCGACGAUCCGUAGCUGGUCUGAGAGGAUGAUCAGCAACACUGGAACUGAGACACGGUCCAGACUCCUACGGGAGGCAGCGGUGGGGAAUAUUGGACAAUGGGCGCAAGCCUGAUCCAGCCAUACCGCGUGGGUGAAGAAGGCCUUCGGGUUGUAAAGCCCUUUUGUUGGGAAAGAAAAGCAGCAGGUUAAUACCCCGCUGUUCUGACGGUACCCAAAGAAUAAGCACCGGCUAACUUCGUG